rnacentral:lncRNA from 1 species
UGACAUCAGCUCACACUGUUCCAAAUAGAAAGUGGGAAAAAUAAGAGCUGGUGUCUUUGGGCUGCCAACUUUGCACUUUCUUUCUUACUGAAAUCACUAGCUACCUGUCUCUUCACCUGUCUUGACAAUCAAAGAGCUCUUGAAGAGCCUUUCAAUUCACAUGUAAUGCUCCUUUUAUCAUACAUAAACAAAGAGAAAUUGCUUGAAAAAAUCAGAAAUCUUACCUAUCAUGCACUUAAGUUCAUGUCUCUGGACCUAUCAGAAGACCCUUAUCUCCUCAGACCGUUUCUGGUACUAGGAUUCACUGCUAUCUUAAUCAGGUAAGGGGGGCUGGGUGAUGCUAUAGUAUCUUCCUGCUAAAAUAGUGCCUUGAAGAUGUUUUCAACUCCACACAAAGAAACCUGGAUCUUUCUGCAUGGUUUUAAUUUGCAUGUUGUUUUGUUUGACAGAUCAGAAGACAAAGGCAGACAGCAAAUGUUUUGCUUUUCAUAGUUUAUUGUAUUUCAGAGUAUCAAUAGAGUAAUUUGCUAUCUUUCCAACUUUUCCUUGAACAACUUAGUAUCUCUUAUAUCAUUCUUCUUCCUUAAACAAUAUUUCUGAAAUUAUGUUAACUCAUAAAACUAGAGAUGACAAGAACUAAGAGUGAUUCAGAGGUCAAGCUUCUGUUCUUCUAUUCUGUUCACCCACAUCUAAGCAGAUCAUUCAGACAGAGAAAUCAAAUGUGUCUAAAAUCCUGGAUGCCUCGUGCUGGCUCCAGCAAUGAGCAUGGACAGCUACACCUGCCCAGUGGUACAGCUAGCUUUGGAUGCACCAUGGCUAAGUUCAGUAGUGAGGAUUCAUUCCCCAAACUGUUCUCUGGAAGAUGGGAGUGGAGCAGGGAGGUAUGAAAUGUUUUAAAUAAAUAUGCUGUGCAUAGCA